AAGCUAAACCUCCCAACCUGUGGACCUUUGGAACAACAAAACACUAAUCAAGUCUUAAUAACACCAUAAAAAUGUAUGCUCUGGUUGAGUAGACCUUAUCUGAUAUGCCCAGGACCAGAAAUAUUUCAGAUUUCAGCCUUAUUCAGAUUUUGGACUCUGCAUAGACUCUACCAGCAAAACUGAAAGCAGUAUGUGAACUUCACAAGCAUGAAGGAAAGAAAACAAAGGCAAAACUUUCUCCAGCAAACUUUACAGCUUACCACAGAUGCUAAAGUGGCAGAGGGCGUUAGAACAGCGGAGGUGAUUGCAGCUGUUCACGUUGUUGCAGAGCUGGCUAAAGUGCCUGGUGAGAUUCUAUGAAGGUUACUUUUUGUGAAAGGUGACCUUUGAGGCUGAGCUUCCGUAAAAAGUAUGCACUACCCCUUCUGCAAGGGCAGCAGCCGGAUGGCUCUUGCUCUGCUCAAGAGUGAGUCCCUUGUGCCCUGACGCUCUGAGGGCCUGCCAAUGUCCACAGGUGGCAGUGUGUCCCGGCCUCACGGUUCAGGCCCAGCAGGAAGGGCUUGCUGCAGCCUGCUCAGCCUCCCUCCAUCUGGGCUCAUUGUUCUUCCACACAUGAAAGUCCUGGCAAGUCUCAACCCGAUUAAAGUUCAGAACUCGCUUCUCUGGA